GGCGGCGUGCUUAAACAUGCAAGUCACGGGGGCCCGCAAGGGCAACCGGCGAACGGGUGCGUAACACGUGAGCAACCUGCCGCGCUCUGGGGGAUAGCCGGCCCAACGGCCGGGUAAUACCGCAUACGCUCAUCGAGGGGAGUCCCUUGGUGAGGAAACCUCCGGGGGAGCGCGAGGGGCUCGCGACCUAUCAGCUAGUUGGCGGGGUAACGGCCCACCAAGGCAGUGACGGGUAGCUGGUCUGAGAGGAUGGCCAGCCACAUUGGGACUGAGAAACGGCCCAGACUCCUACGGGAGGCAGCAGUGGGGAAUCUUGCGCAAUGGCCGAAAGGCUGACGCAGCGACGCCGCGUGUGGGAGGAAGCCCUUCGGGGUGUAAACCACUGUUGCCCGGGGCGAAACUCCUCUUUCGAGAGGACUGACGGUACCGGGUGAGGAAGCACCGGCUAACUCCGUGCCAGCAGCCGCGGUAAUACGGAGGGUGCGAGCGUUGUCCGGAAUCACUGGGCGUAAAGGGCGCGUANGCGGCGCGAGCAGUCAACGGUGAAAGCCCGGAGCUCAACUCCGGGUCGGCCGUCGAUACUCUCGUGCUUGA
rnacentral:rRNA from 1 species